rnacentral:tRNA from 1 species
GCGUCGGUACCCCAGUGGCUAGAGGGACUGGUCUUAGAAACCAGGUGUCGUGGGUUCGAAUCCCACUCGACGUAC